UGGGGAAUAUUGGACAAUGGGCGGAAGCCUGAUCCAGCCAUGCCGCGUGUGUGAAGAAGGCCUUUUGGUUGUAAAGCACUUUAAGCGAGGAGGAGGCUACUAGUACUAAUACUACUGGAUAGUGGACGUUACUCGCAGAAUAAGCACCGGCUAACUCUGUGCCAGCAGCCGCGGUAAUACAGAGGGUGCGAGCGUUAAUCGGAUUUACUGGGCGUAAAGCGUCCGUAGGCGGCUGAUUAAGUCGGAUGUGAAAUCCCUGAGCUUAACUUAGGAAUUGCAUUCGAUACUGGUCAGCUAGAGUAUGGGAGAGGAUGGUAGAAUUCCAGGUGUAGCGGUGAAAUGCGUAGAGAUCUGGAGGAAUACCGAUGGCGAAGGCAGCCAUCUGGCCUAAUACUGACGCUGAGGUACGAAAGCAUGGGGAGCAAACAGG
rnacentral:rRNA from 1 species